AGCAUAAAAUUCACAAAUGUUCUUCUUUUCCUUAUCCAGAAAGUUUAAGAAAGAUAAUUCUUGAUUUUCUUGGUUAUGUUUAAGAAGAUACAAGAAUUCUUUUCUUCACUUACUUGAUCAAAUAUAGGUUUGAAAAAUUAUAAAAUCAAGAAAUCAAAACAAAAAGUUACAACUGAAGCAUAAAAUUCUUUAAUGGUAUGUUUUCCUUAUUCAAAAAGCUUAAGAGAGAUGCUUCUUGUUUUUCAAGUGGUAAUGUUUAAGAUAUACUAGAAUAUAUUUCUUAACUUUCUUGAUUAAGGAAAACAAGAUAUUUUUUUGGGUUCAUGGCACCUAGAGGUAGUUGCAAGAUAUAACAUUUAGUUGAAUAGUAUGGUAACCUUUCUUUUGAAAUUUCUGUUGGUGACCAAGCUAUGUUUAGUUCAAAGUUAUGUUAAACUUUGCUUUCCUCAAAUCAAAACCCAUUUGGUGUCUUUGUUAAGAAUUAGUCUUGGUAACAAGAAAACAUUUCUUGAUUUUCUAGCCUAUCUUGUCAUGUGACUUUUUCUGAACUCCUGAUUGGUUUAUUUGUAUCUCAGAGUACUGUUGGGCUACCCCAGGUGGUCCAUCUCUAUUUUGAACAGUUAUAAGAAAAUAUUUCUUAACAUUUCUUAUUUUUCUAGCCUCUCUGGUCAUGUGACUUUUUCUGAACCCCUGAUUGGUUGAUCUGUAUCCCAGAGUACAGUUGGGCUACCCCAUCUCCAUUUUGAACAGAGUGACAGUUGCAGCAGCUCAGUUCACUACUCUUUGUAUCAGUUGAUGACUCAUGUCAGUUUUACAGUCAAAAGUAAGGUAAAAGGGACCAUGAUCAUGUGAGGCACUGGUGACUGGGUUCAAUUUGCUAAAAAUCUAUGCAGCGGAAACAGCUGGGAACCAGAUAUGAAGGAUAAGGUGUCUGGAGGUUUUGACCACACCAAAUGUCAAGAAUGAAAAGUUCACUGCAAGGGUUUACUCUAUUUUGGAAUGUGAUACUCUGUAACCAUAUGGAAUUAUAGUUAUAUCUAGUAAGUUUAUAAAUUAUGGCCUUAGCAUAUUCCGCUACAAAACAGCUACAUGUACACUGCCAUUUAAGUAAAUGCAGUAAUAUUGCUGUAAAUACUUCUUUGAGAAGGGUAAUGAAUUCGAGACUCUUCUUCUUGUACGUAUAUCAAGAUAAAUAAUUGGCAAUUUGAAUGUAAAGGAAUUAUUGAUGUUUGUCUGGGACUGUCAUCGUAAAAGUAUUUCCAUUCAAAGACUGUUACUAUUGUGAUCAUACUUCAUAAGUCUUAUGUAAGAAUGUGGUAAUAAAUAUUCCUAUACUAUA